AGAGGGCGUGAAACCGCUUAGAAGGAAACGAGAGGCGCCGCAUUUUCUAGCGUGAUUCACCUGCUGCUUGUGACCAAUCGGUUGCGACAUCAGGGCAUUUCUCGUUGGUACGCACCGGGAGCUGUGCUCAUUGUGGUAAUGGUCCAGUAGGAGAUGUGCGCUUAUGCGCUGCCUUCCUGCCGGUCUGCGCCAUUUUUUAGUACAGUUUUCAAGACGCACACUAUUGAUCAGCUGUGGUCCGGCAUUCAAUGUCACUACUGGUCUCGGCCUCGUGUCGGUUGGGUGUGAUUACUGGAUGUAACGACUGUCAGACUGAGAAUGUGUCGUUUCGGUGUGAACGUCGGCUACCCUCCCGACCCGUCUUGAAACACGGACCAAGGAGUCUAACAUGUGCGCAAGUCAUUGGGUCUGUAAAACCUAUAGGCGAAAUGAAAGUAUAGGCCGGCUUGGUCGGCUGACACACGAUCCGUGCGGUCUUGGCUGUGCGGCGCAGUGUGGUCCCGUCUUGGCUGCUUGUCACUGAGGCGGAGAUUGAGCGUACAUGUUGGGACCCGAAAGAUGGUGAACUAUGCCUGAAC
rnacentral:rRNA from 1 species